AUUAAGUGUAUCUAUGUGUAUCUUCUUUCAUACAACAACCAGGAUACAGUGUCCCUGUAACAGGGUGCUUUGCAGUGCAAGAAUGAAGAAGGUCUGAAGAGUGGUGACAUUGGUUGUCACAUGGACAUUGGUACAGAAAGAAACAGUACAAAAAUGUACAUGGUUUUGGUGACAAAUCCUGAAAGAAAAAGGAUAUCAAGAAUGAUCAGAGAGGAAGACCACACUCAAUUUUCAGAGGAACCAACCCACAUUCACACUGGAAGAAGAAAGAGCAAUGCCAAAAAAACAUAACAUUUUGCAGCUCAUGUUGUUAAUCUCUGAAGUUAGAACAUUCUUUGUCUAUUUGUCACUCUGUGGACACUAUUUCUGUUCACAUAAGAAGUCAAUUCAAUUUUUAAACCCACAACAAAAGCGUCCUCAAAGUGUUAA